UUUAUAAAUGUUAAAUACUAUAAAGAGUAAAUAGGUUUGCGCAGUAUCAUAGCGCCAUCUUUUGGACGCCACAUUUAAAUUUAUUUUAUUCCUCAUUGCACGGCCUAUGUUUGUUUUUUCAAUGGCUUCCUCCAUUUUUUACGUAGCAGGUAUUUAUUAAGUAUAACGUAUAUUUUCUGAUUGAAGUAGUUUUCUGGACUCGAUGUCAGACCCUUCACCUACUUAAACCCUACUGAUUAUAUUAUAUAUUCGGACUAUCAGAAGCUCUUCAAAAGUUGUAUUUAGAUCAUCUAUCCGCCUAUAUCUAUGACUUAUACUUUUUUCUGGUUACUUUGUCUAUUGCAUAUUAUUUAUGACUUAAGCGUUUUUCGAAACGUGUGCAGUUUCAUUUUACUGUUGCUUUUUUACACGUUCUACGUGUCAACGACGCCUACUGAUGCGCCGCCAUCAUGAAGUGUAAUGUAAUCUGUAUUUCAUUUAAUAUACUCAGAAGCCAAUGUUUGAAUAGGAUGAUCAUUGUUAUUAAUGGUAUCAAAAUAAAGGAUCUGUUUUACUACUUAAUAUAUCACAUUGUUAAACGCUUUUCACCAUAUUUGAAACUCAGGCAUAUUCUACCUCAGUUAAAAUUUGAAAAUUUUUGCUAAUCAGGUUAAAACGAAAAGCUAUAGAUGAGAAUGGUUUUCUUCUCUAGAAACAUCUGUAUAGGUCACCUCGUUUAAACGAUUUCCAACAAAUCUGGAAUGGAAAUGUUAUUUAAUGAUAUAUUAAAGGAUCGUUGUUAGUGUGCCUCGUUCAGAAAAAUAGUUUCUAUCUAAAAAAUAAAAGAAAUCCUAUUGCAAAACACCUAAUAUAUAAAAAAUAAAGUACAUUACAAUACUAAGAAGUGUGGAAUUUCUUGUAAUUUAUAAGCAGCAGUUUGAUUGACAGAAAGACUUUUCUUCCUACGACAUUUUUAUACUUAGCAUUGCUGAAAGAUUUUGAUUGAAAUGCAAUAAUUAGAUGAAAUUUUGAUAAUAGGAAAAUAUUUUAAAUAAGAUUUUUUUAUACCAUAAGACAAUAGGAACUGCUUAAUUCUAAAUAUAGUCAAUAAGUGGAAUAAGUUGUCCAUCAAAUGGUAAAAGUUUUCUAUAUUUUAUACAACAGAAACUAAACUGUAAUUAUAGAAAUAAUUGUUGUAUUUUAAGAAUUUACGAAAUUUCAAGUGUGAACUGACAUUAAAUUGUAUCUUUUAAGAAGAUUUUAAGGAAUUUCAUUGAACUAUAAACUGAAAUGACUCUGAAUGACCGAAAUGCAGCAAUUGAUGUUGAAAUGGCAAAAUGCAAAAGCUAAAGUGUCGGAAAAGAGACUGUAAGAGUACAGACUGAACCAACGAUUUGUAUAUGAUAGAUUUGAAGUGAUAUUUGAUUUUGAAUAACAUUUAGUAAAUGAUAAAUAUUUAGAUAAGUAUUAACUUUCUUUUGCUAAUCAUGCCAAGAAAGUAAAAACUCGAUUGUAGUGAAAAAAAUAUUAAUAAAAAAAAAAAACAUAAACAAAACGCCGAAGUGACGAAAGUUUGAAAGAGAUUGAUAAAAUACAGAAUAGAGCUGUCUUUGAGAUCAAUAUUACAACUCAAAGAUGUAGAAAGCGGAAAGUUUAUUUAGUCAAUCCAUCUUUUGAGAGAGAAAGGAAACCCGUGAAGUAUAAUGCUGAUCCAUCCAAAUGAAAAAAUAUUCCGCCAUCACAUAAAGAAAAUCACCGUCGGUAAAAGAAAAAACUCAUACAAGGAAAAUCUAUCUCCUGUUGGAAGAAAGGAAACGGAAAACGUAAAAAUUCAUAGCCAAUCAGGGGCAAAGAAUUUCCUAUCAAGAAAAUCCAUACGCUGCGAAAGAAUGUUGCAAUUGCACCAAAACAUUUUGCCGAAUAUUCACCGCAUUUCUUAUUACGAAACACGCACCAAUUUGGC
rnacentral:lncRNA from 1 species